GUGAUGGACAGGGAGGCCUGGCGUGCUGCGGUCCAUGGGGUCGAAAGAGUCGGACACGACUGAGCCACUGGACAACAAGCAGUCUUUUGGGGGUGACUAUUGGGUCCGGCUUUGGUGCCAGCCGGGCGGAUGCCUGCUGGACCCCAAGGUCCACGCUGCGAAUGGCUGUCACAUCCCUCUUCUCUCCUGCAGGAGGCGGCGGUGGCGGGUUCCAGCCGGGGCACGACAGCUACGGGCGAGGAGGGCGCAACAUACCCGGCUCACCUGGCAUUAAUUAUGGUAAUGGAGGUCUUUCAUAAAAGCCAAAGCAGGAGAAGCUCUCCUGCUGAGGAGCUAACCCCCGCGUGGGCGCUGCCUGUCCGCCUGGGUUUCUGAUCGGCGUCCUCAAUGGGCACCGAAGCUGGGGAGGGGUUUGCAUGGGACGCGGGACACAAUCCAUC
rnacentral:lncRNA from 1 species